UCAUUUCAAAUUGCAGUGAAUGAUCGUAAUGAGUUGCUUUCAGGAAUCUGGGAAGUAUUCUUUUAGAAUGCCAAACAAAUGGAACUUUUCUUUCGAUUACCUCUAUGGAGCGAUGCUUAUUCUUGCAAUCUACGUGCCAGGAAGUCCACACAUGUACCGCUACAUGCUUGUUCAGAGGUCAAAAGCUCUCUCAAAAUCCAAAAAAGAGUAGGAAAAAAUGAAGUUAAUGUUAUUCUCGGGUUCAGUUUGUCUUAAUUCAGUAUACUUUCCGCAUAUUUAUCCUUAAUUUUCAUUUUUGAUCCUUAAUUUUUAUUUUUGAUUGGCUUAGUCUUGUUAAGGACAUUUUGUUUCCUCCCUUAAUAAAUUUGUCUACUGAGACUGCUUAA